AGAGGAAGAAGAGGGAGAAGAGAAUAAAAGAAGAGGAAGAAGAGAGGGAAGAGGGAGAGGAAAGAGAGAUAGCUGCAGCAGGGCUGCAGCACCUCUGUUUCGUGUAGGAGGAAACAGAGGAGUUCAUGUGUGGGGCGUCGGGGAGGAGAAGGGAAGAAGAGGAGAAGAAGAAGAAGAAAAGAGGAGGUGGCUACGGCAAGGGCUGCAGCGAGGAGCUGUGGGGCGUUGGGGAGGAGAAAGGAAGAAGAGGAGAAGAAGAAAAGAAGAAGAAGAGGGAAAAGAAGAGAGGAGGAAGAAGAGGGAGAAGAGAAGAAUAGAAGAACAAAAAAAGAGAGAGGGAAGUGGGAGAGGAGCGAGAGGUGGCAGCAGCUAGGGCUGCAGCGCCUCUGUUUCCUGCAGGCGGAAACAGAGGAGACGAGGUGUGGGGUGUUGGAGAGGAGAAGAAGAAGAAGAGGAAAAAGAAGAAGAGAAAAAGAAAAAAAAGAAGGAUGGCUGCGGCAUGGGCUGCAGUGAGAAGGUGUGGGGUGUCGGGUAGGAGAAGGGAAGAAGAGGAGAAGAAGAAGAAGAGGAAAAGAAGAAGUAGAAGCGGGUGAAGAGGCGGCACCUCUGUUUCCUGCAGGAGGAAACAGAGGAAAGGAGGUGCUGUUCAUCGGGGAGAAGAAGGGGAGGAAGGAGAAGAAGAGAAGAAGAAGAAAGGAAGGAGAAGGAAGAGGAGAAGGGAAAGAAGUAUCUGCGGCUGCGGCUGUGGCAGCUGCAGCUGUGGCAGGGAAAGAGGAAGAGGAAGGAAGAAGGGAAGGAGAGGAAGAAGAGAAGGGGAAGAAGGGGCUGCGGCUGCGGCGAUGGCAGCUGCAGUUGGAAGAGAAGAAGGAGAGGAAGAUGAGCAGGGGAGGAAGAAGAGGCUGUGGCCGUGGCUGAGGCUGUGACUGCAGCAGUGCAGCUGGGAAAGAAGAGAAGGAAAGGAAGAAGAAGAGAAAGGAAAAGGGAAGAAGAGAGGAAGAGGAGAAGGGGAGGCAGCUGCGGCAGUGGCAGCUGCAGCUGGAAGAGAAGGAGAGGAAGAUAAGCAGGGGAGGAAGAAGAGGCUGCGGUUGUGGUGACUGCGGCCAUGGCUGCGACUGCGACUGCGGCAGUUGCAGCUGGGAAAGAAAAGAAAGGAAAGGGGGAAAAAGGGGCUGCGGACGGGAUUCCGGCCGCGGCGGCAGCGACUGCGUAUCCAGCAGCUGUGUCUGCAAAAGAAGGGGAGGAAGAAGGCAGUGUGGUGGAAGGGGCGGUGACUAUGGCAGCGAUAGCGGCGGUGGCUGUGGUAGCUACGUUUGGGAAAGAAAACGAAGGAAUGAGAGUAAGAGAGAGCAAGUGAUUAUGCCUCUAUAUUCUGCAUGAGCUACAGUUGUGGAGGAAAAAGAGAAGACAUGUAGAAAACGAAACAGGGAGAGGACACGGAGGAAAAGUCGAAGGAUUUGGGACACCUUUGGAUCUUCGGAUCAAAAUAUUUGAAAGGUCAGCUUGUCACUCUUUGAGAUGUUUGAAUUGGGCCGAGGCAGUGGAGAGCUAUUCAGAAUUAUGGGCAAGUCUUGUUGGUUAUUAUGUUAUUAUUAUAUAAGUAUAUUUUGUAUGUAAUGAAAUGUUGUCGAUGAACCGAAAUGAAUAUACCUUGUAAAAGUAUUAAAAGAUCUCUCUUAUUUGGAAUUUCGGAAUGUUAAGUCUAGUUUACGAUGA